AAGCGUCGGACGCGGCCCGGCGCCGAGCCAUGGAGCCUGAGCCAGUGGAGGACUGUGUGCAGAGCACUCUCGCCGCCCUGUAUCCACCCUUUGAGGCAACAGCCCCCACCCUGUUGGGCCAGGUGUUCCAGGUGGUGGAGAGGACUUAUCGGGAGGACGCACUGAGGCCUGAUCUACAGACACUGGGGCUGUCCGUCCUGCUGGACCUUCGCCAGGCACCUCCACUGCCUCCAGCACUGAUUCCUGUCUUGAGCCAACUUCAGGACUCAGGAGAUCCUCCCCUUGUUCAGCGGCUGCUGAUUCUCAUUCAUCAUGACCUUCCAACUGAACUCUGUGGAUUUCAGGGUGCUGAGGUGCUGUCAGAGAAUGAUCUGAAAAGAGUGGCCAAGCCAGAGGAGCUGCAGUGGGAGUUAGGAGGUCACAGGGACCCCUCUCCCAGUCACUGGGUAGAGAUACACCAGGAAGUGGUAAGGCUAUGUCGCCUGUGCCAAGGCCCAGCUACACUGUAUCAGGAAGUGGACGAGGCCAUUCACCAGCUUGUGCGCCUCUCCAACCUGCACGUGCAGCAGCAAGAGCAGCGGCAGUGCCUGCGGCGACUCCAGCAGGUGUUGCAGUGGCUCUCGGGCCCAGGAGAGGAGCAGCUGGCAAGCUUUGCUCUGCCUGGGGACACCUUGUCUGCCCUGCAGGAGACAGAGCUGCGAUUCCGGGCUUUCAGCGCUGAGGUCCAGGAGCGCCUGGCCCAGGCACGGGAGGCCCUGGCUCUGGAGGAGAAUGCCACCUCCCAGAAGGUGCUGGAUAUCUUUGAACAGCGGCUGGAGCAGGUUGAGAGUGGCCUCCAUCGGGCCCUGCGGCUACAGCGCUUCUUCCAGCAGGUGCAUGCAGAGCCUUUUCCUUCUGUGCCCCCCAUUUCCAUUUAUUCACUUCCUUUCUGCCUGGAGAGGCUAAUUAAGUUGUUAAAAGUGGAGGCUGAGGAGCCCAUCUCCUAGGUUUUUCCUCUUAGCUCUGUCACCUCCUUGCUGAAUGGCAUGGGACAAGAUACUAAACCUGACUGUGCCUCCAUAGAUCUACCUCACAGGGCUGCUGUGGGGAUUACACGAGGCAAUACAUAAAAGCCCUUAGCACAGAGCCUGCCACUCAUAAAUGUCGUAUGAGUACUGGUUAUUCUUUUAUAUAGGCUCUUCCAUCUCCAUACCAACUCCGAGUGACAUGGUUAGGCAGUGAUGCUGGAACAGUGAGAAAAUGGGAGAGUGAUGGGCAUUGAGAGGCCACAGGCAAGAGGACAAGGGCUGUCAUUGGGCGUCCUUCGUGAGCAACACAGGCCCUUACCCUUUCUCUCCCAUCCCCAACCCCUUUGACUUCAUAGGCACAUGAAUGGGUGGAUGAGGGCUUUGCUCGGCUGGCAGGAGCUGGGCCAGGUCGGGAGGCUGUGCUGGCUGCACUGGCCCUGCGGCGGGCCCCAGAGCCCAGUGCCGGCACCUUCCAGGAGAUGCGGGCCCUGGCCCUGGACCUGGGCAGCCCAGCAGCCCUACGAGAAUGGGGCCGCUGCCGGGCCCGCUGCCAAGAGCUGGAGAGGAGGAUUCAGCAACACCUGGGAGAGGAGGCGAGCCCACGGGGCUACCGACGACGGCGGGCAGACAGUGCCAGCAGUGGAGGGGCCCAGUGGGGGCCCCGCAGCCCCUCGCCCAGCCUCAGCUCCUUGCUGCUCCCCAGCAGCCCUGGGCCACGGCCAGCCCCAUCCCAUUGCUCCCUGGCCCCAUGUGGAGAGGACUAUGAGGAAGAGGGCCCUGAGCUGGCUCCAGAAGCAGAGGGCAGGCCCCCAAGAGCUGUGCUGAUCCGAGGCCUGGAGGUCACCAGCACUGAGGUGGUAGACAGGACGUGCUCACCACGGGAACACGUGCUGCUGGGCCGGGCUGGGGGGCCAGACGGACCCUGGGGAGUAGGCACCCCCCGGAUGGAGCGCAAGCGAAGCAUCAGUGCCCAGCAGCGGCUGGUGUCUGAGCUGAUUGCCUGUGAACAAGAUUACGUGGCCGCCUUGAGUGAGCCAGUGCCACCCCCUGGGCCUGAGCUGACUCCUGAACUUCGGGGCACCUGGGCUGCUGCCCUGAGUGCCCGGGAAAGGCUUCGCAGCUUCCACCGGACACACUUUCUGCGGGAGCUUCAGGGUUGCGCCACCCACCCCCUACGCAUUGGGGCCUGCUUCCUUCGCCACGGGGACCAGUUCAGCCUUUAUGCACAGUACGUGAAGCACCGACACAAACUGGAGAAUGGUCUGGCUGCGCUCAGUCCCUCAAGCAAGGGCUCCAUGGAGGCUGGCCCUUACCUGCCCCGAGCCCUGCAGCAGCCUCUGGAACAGCUGACUCGGUAUGGGCGGCUCCUGGAGGAGCUCCUGAGGGAAGCUGGGCCUGAGCUCAGUUCUGAGCGCCAGGCCCUUGGGGCUGCUGUACAGCUGCUCCGGGAACAAGAGGCCCGUGGCAGAGACCUGCUGGCCGUGGAGGCGGUGCGUGGCUGUGAGAUAGAUCUGAAGGAGCAGGGACAGCUCUUGCAUCGAGACCCCUUCACUGUCAUCUGUGGCCGAAAGAAGUGCCUUCGCCAUGUCUUUCUCUUUGAGCAUCUCCUCCUGUUCAGCAAGCUCAAGGGCCCUGAAGGGGGGUCAGAGACGUUUGUUUACAAGCAGGCCUUUAAGACUGCUGACAUGGGGCUGACAGAAAACAUCGGGGACAGCGGACUCUGCUUUGAGUUGUGGUUUCGGCGGCGGCGUGCACGAGAGGCAUACACUCUGCAGGCAACCUCACCAGAGAUCAAACUCAAGUGGACAAGUUCUAUUGCCCAGCUGCUGUGGAGACAGGCAGCCCACAACAAGGGUACUGGGCAGAGCUGAGGAAGGGGGUGCUUGGAGUCAGGGUUAUAGCAGGAAGUUUUCUGGAGAGUGUGCGAACUGCUUGGGAAAACAGCUUAUAGGAUGAAGAAAGAAUAGCUUAUAAUAAGAUUCAAGAUUUGGCUUGAGAGAUUACUGAAGUAGAAAUGAGCCUAAGAUAUACCAAAAAGAAAGAGAAAGCUGGCAAAUUUCAGGGAAGCAAGAGCAAGUAGGGGCCAGGUGCAGUGGCUCAUGCCUGUAAUCCCAGCGCAUUUUGGGAGGCCAAAGUGGGAGGAUUGUUUGAGGCCAGGUGUUCAAGACCAGCCUGGGCACAUAGUGAGACCCCAUUUCCACAAAAACUUUUAAAAUUAACUGGGCAUGGUAGUACGCACCUAUAGUCCUAGCUAUUUGAGGGGUGAGGUAGGAGGAUCGCUUGAGCCCAAAUGUUCAAGGCUACAGUGAGCUAUGGUGGUGCCACUGCACUUGAGCCUGAGUGACAGAGCAAGACUCUGUCUUAAAGGAUUUUUUUUCAAAUUUUUUAAUAAAGCAAAUGGCUGGGAAAAGAGGUGAGAAACUGCUCGCUUGGAUUUAAGAACUGCUGCUACUUGCUGUGUGACCUGGACUAGUUUUUUGUUUGUUAGUUUUAUUUUUAUUUUUGUUUUUUUGCUGGGCUUUACCUUGGUUUUAAUUUUCUGAACUUCAUUCUGCUCAUCUGAAAAAUGAAAUACUAAUGUCUUCAUCUUAGUGUAAUAGGGAUGAUUAGGUAAGGUCAAAUAUAUGGAAGCAUCUUGUAAACUGUAAAGGUAUGUAAAAAUGUGAGGGUUGUGUGUGUGUGUGUGUGUGUGUGUGUGCUCUUAAUGCCCAAGAUGCAGAGUAGAAAUUAGGCAGCUGGGAUGCCAAACAGGCAGGAUGCAACAUAUUGGAGAGAAGAGCCAGAUAUCUGAGGAGGAAGUCACACCGUCAUUGCCAUCCAUGUUGUGAUAGUCAACAGAAGGAGUAAAAAGAGACAUCAGAGGAAUCAAAGGGAGGAAUGAGGAUUGGGAAGGAAC
rnacentral:sRNA from 1 species